rnacentral:lncRNA from 1 species
ACACUGUGAGUUGGUUUGUGUGAAUUCCACUUGGAAUUUAGGGUAGUUUUGUGAGUUGGUUUGUUUGAGUUCCACUUGGAACUUAGGAUAGAUCGAGUUGCAUAUAGAGUAGUAAUAUCACACUGAUGCAUGAUAGAGUCCUAGGGUUUUUUUUUAUUUAUGAAUUGGACUCAGUUUAGCAUGGGCUAAGCUGAGAUAUAAUGGAAUUAAGACUGAGUUAAUAACCUGACUAGGACUAGGGCUAGGAUGCAUCAUGUUUUCUAUUCAUGCGUGUUGAUAUGGUUGAGUGCAGGUUCCCGUUAUCUUUAAGGAUAGUUUCAUAGCAGGAGGCUGGACUAUCUGGAUAACGGUUUGAUUUAUUUGUUUAGUAUUGAUAUUAUUGUUUAGUUAUUAGUACUAAGGGUCUUAGGCCAUAUAGGCUGGACUACUGGUACUAUGGUUAGUCUUGUGGAGUCGAGUGUCUAGUUAGGUUCUGGAACUUUAUCUUUAGGUUAGGUUCUAGAUUGAAUUUGUGUUGUGUGAGUGUGCCGACAGUAUGUGCGUAACCCGCCCAUACUAGGCUUGUGUAGGGGUGAGUUAGUGUUCCUUCAGACCUCGUACCCAGCGGGUUCAAGGAAACCCCUUAUUCGCUGGAUCGGGAAGACUCAGAGAGACGGGGUCAUGGCCUAGGGCUGAGUUAUUACACGACGGUGUAAUGUGGCAGUGAC